UUUUCUGGGUUAGAGGAAUUUUAAUAUUGCUUUGUGAUCAAACAAUAGAUUGAGGAUUUGUCCCCCUGUGAAUCUAGAGUGAGAGAGCCAUGGCUGGCACUCUUGUCUGUGUACUCACUUCUCGUUUCUGCCGUUUUGCAGCGCCGCCUGUCGGCCAAACACUGCACCGCCGUCUGGUAAAAACACAGAUGGGCUUUGAUGGGCUAUCUCCUCUCUCCUCUCCAUCUCUGAGCCCGUGUUCGCCCCGCGGCCAUCCGAGUCCCAGCCUCAAACCAGAAACGACCACAUCACUUUGGCUCAAAUCUUCUCCGUCCUUCACUAAAACAAGUGAAAACAAAAGCAGAGUUCAAGUCCAGACUUUGAGUUUCUUUUAAUUAAUUUCUUAUUUUUGUGUAACACGAGCUCAGAUCUCACUACAAUAAACCGCAUUUUUGUCUGAGUCAAAAAUAUAUAUGUAUAAAAAAAUACAGCAAACAAACGUAAAAAGUUAUUAUGAUAUUUACAAUUAUUCUUAUUUUGGCACUAAAUAAAAACUAACAUUAGGAUUUUUUUUUUUACACUUUUUUACACUCGGGUGCUUUAGAGGAAAUUCUAAAAUUAUUCUCAUGUUCUUGCAUCAUUAAAAAUAGUUUAUUAAAAAAUGAUAUCUACAUUUUUUUAAUUUUAUAUCGAUGUAAGAAUAUUAAAAUUUUUUCUACUAAUUCUAAACCUAACUCUAAAAAAAUGUGCAAACACAGAUUUGUUUGUUUAUGCAGCAGGUCUUCCCUUUAUUUGGGUUAUGCAAAGUAAAACAAACAAACAUGUAAAUCAUGUAUUUUAUAUUUAAAGUCACUUUUACUCUGAACUUUAACUGACCACUAUAAAAGGCCUUUUUUAUUUGCUGUUAAAUCAAAGCACUUUUUAAGUCUUUAAAAUAAAAUCGUUUUAUUACUCUAAAAGCAUAAAUCUUAUACUCUACUUUUGUGCAUGUGUGUGUUAUUAUUUCUGUCUGGAUAACAGUCAGCCCACAUCAUAAAUAAAUAUCUUUUAGUUUGACUGUUUUUGAGAGAAAAAGCGGACGUGAUAAGUACACAGCUGAUCUUUGUUUAACACUUUCCCUCCACACGCAGAGGCAUGUUAGGCCUUAACCAGGCAGGGAGGAAAUAUGUAGAUAUUUAUAGGUCUUACUAGUGCCUGGUUAAUGAUGCAUCUUCCUCUCUCAACUAUUCAAAACCUUUAAGUCUUUCUUUUUUUUUUGUUUUUCCAGCGCUCUAUUAUUCUGCGGAUAAAACGGAAGGAAGAAGCCCUCCGUUUUGUGCGGAGAUUAUCAGAUGAAAAAGAGAGAAAACGUGAGGAUUACUGUGGAUGAAGAGGAUUUUAAUAUUAAUAGUUUUUUUUUUCUUUUCUCUCCCCUUCCCUCCCUCCUUCUCCUCCUCCCUCCUCCCCUCCUCCUCCUCCUCCUCUCUUCCUCCCCCCGAUGAGACAGAAGGUAGAUUGCCUCUGCUGCUUUCCUUUUGCCGAUUCGGUGUGACAGGGAUGAUGGAUGAUCCAGCCGAGCUAAACAACUCCUCCCCUUCAUCUCCUCCCUGUCAAAGCCAGUCCGGGCUGCUGCUGCACGAAUAAAAUAAGGAAUAUAUUCCCCCUGCACUGCUGCACAAUGCAGCCUGCUCCUCUGGAAGACACACACUCUCUCUCUGCGCGCGUGCAACAAUAUUAAAAGUCCACACACAGACACCCCCCCACACCCCCCAGUUGGAACACUAUGUGCGCGCGUAACAGAGGCAACAUGUUAAUAAAGCUCGUGUUAUUGGUUCUCUUCUAUCCUCUGCAGAGCUUCUCUUAAGUGUGUAUUCUUAGUCUCACAUGUGAGUUUUCUGGCAGCAAAGCAGACACACACACACACACACACUGAAAAAAGUUCGUCCCUGCUUUGUUUUUCUUCCAAAAUGCUGAUUUGGAUAGUGGUCAUAAAAAUGCACGCGCACGCAGGGGCUGAGUGUCCUUCGCUUUGCAGCUGUUUCUCCCCCCAAAAAUGGCUCUGCACGCUCAGGGGGACACUUUUUAAGGUUUUGUGUGUCUGUCUGUGUGUGUGUGUGUGUGUGUGUGUGUGUGCUGCCCUCCUUAAAAAAAAACAUUUCAGCAGUUUUCUCUCCUCUUGCCAUAAGGUGUUUCUAUGACGACGUUACGUAGGCCUGUGCGCGCGGGUCAGAGGCGGGGGUCCCUGGGAGAAAAGGGCCGCAUUUGGCUGAUCAUUUAUCAAUGUCAACCGCAUAAUGAUUCUCCCUGCAGUCCCCCUAUUGAUGAGGAUAAUUACAUUAGCUCAGAGUGACUGAUCAAUAAAGCCCA